GCCUUCGUGGUCUAAAGAUAGCACACUCGAUUCGUAUUCGAGAGAUCCAGAUUCGAGUCCCGGCGACGGUG
rnacentral:tRNA from 1 species